rnacentral:tRNA from 5 species
GGGCUGGUAGCUCAGUUGGCAGAGCGCCCGCCUUGCACGUGGGAGGCCGCGGGUUCAAAUCCCGCCCAGUCCA